rnacentral:rRNA from 1 species
GAUGAACGCUGGCGGUAUGCUUAACACAUGCAAGUCGAACGAAAGUUUUUAACUUUAGUGGCGAACGGGUGCGUAAUACGUGAGAAUCUGCCCUUAGGAGGAGGAUAACUGCUGGAAACGGCUGCUAAUACUCCAUAUGUCGAGAGAUGAAAAAUUUAUUGCCUAAGGAUGAGCUCGCGCCUGAUUAGCUAGUUGGUGAGGUAAUGGCUCACCAAGGCCACGAUCAGUAGCUGGUUUGAGAGAACGAUCAGCCACACUGGGACUGAGACACGGCCCAGACUCCUCCGGGAGGCAGCAGUGAGGAAUUUUCCGCAAUGGGCGAAAGCCUGACGGAGCAAUACCGCGUGAGGGAUGAAGGAUUUUGGUCUGUAAACCUCUUUUCUCAAGAAAGAAGUUCUGACGGUACUUGAGGAAUAAGCAUCGGCUAACUCCGUGCCAGCAGCCGCCGUAAGAC